rnacentral:tRNA from 1 species
GCUUUUGUGGUGUAGAGGUCAGCACGCUCGGCGUGUACUUGAGAAGUUGGUGGUUCGAUUCCCGGCGAUAGCA